rnacentral:rRNA from 1 species
GGCUCAGAAUCAACGCUGUCGGCGCGCCUAACACAUGCAAGUCGAGCGAGAAAGGGGAGCAAUCCCUGAGUAAAGCGGCGUACGGGUGAGUAACACGUGGAUGAUCUACCUUCUAGUGGGGAAUAACCCUGGGAAACCGGGGCUAAUACCGCAUAAGCACGAGAGUGGAAAGCAGCAAUGCGCUGGAAGAGGAGUCCGCGGCCGAUUAGCUAGUUGGCAGGGUAAAAGCCUACCAAGGCAAAGAUCGGUAGCCGGCCUGAGAGGGCACACGGCCACACUGGCACUGAAACACGGGCCAGACUCCUACGGGAGGCAGCAGUGGGGAAUCUUGCACAAUGGGGGAAACCCUGAUGCAGCGACGCCGCGUGAGCGAUGAAGCCCUUCGGGGUGUAAAGCUCUUUCGGCAGGGAAGAUUAUGACGGUACCUGCAGAAGCAGCUGCGGCUAACUACGUGCCAGCAGCCGCGGUAAUACGUAGGCAGCGAGCGUUGUUCGGAGUUACUGGGCGUAAAGGGUGCGUAGGCGGUUGUUUAAGUUUGGUGUGAAAUCUCCCGGCUCAACCGGGAGGGUGCGCCGAAUACUGAAUGACUAGAGUGCGGGAGAGGAGAGUGGAAUUCCUGGUGUAGCGGUGAAAUGCGUAGAUAUCAGGAGGAACACCGGUGGUGUAGACGGCUCUCUGGACCGUAACUGACGCUGAGGCACGAAAGCGUGGGUAGCAAACAGGAUUAGAUACCCUGGUAGUCCACGCCCUAAACGAUGCAUAUUUGGUGUGGGCAGUUCAGUCUGUCCGUGCCGGAGCUAACGCGUUAAAUAUGCCGCCUGGGGAGUACAGUCGCAAGGCUGAAACU